rnacentral:rRNA from 1 species
UACGUAGGUGGCAAGCGUUAUCCGGAUUUAUUGGGCGUAAAGCGAGCGCAGGCGGUUGCUUAGGUCUGAUGUGAAAGCCUUCGGCUUAACCGAAGAAGUGCAUCGGAAACCGGGCGACUUGAGUGCAGUAGAGGAAAGUGGAAUUCCUAGUGUAGCGGUGGAAUGCGUAGAUAUUAGGAGGAACAUCAGUGGCGAAGGCGACUUUCUGGACUGUAACUGACGCUGAGGCACGAAAGUGUGGGGAGCAAACAGG